CCCCGCGCCGCGCGCCCUCCCGCGCGCCCACCCGGGCCCCGCCCGCGCCCCGGACGGCGCCCCCGCCGGAGGGCCCAGGUAACCGGCCGCCCAGGGGGCCUCGGCGCCUCCAGCACCCGUCCCCCCAGGUGCUGACGAGUCUCACGUUCGCUGCCGGCUGGGAGGGGAGGCUGGCCACGGCGAGGGGAGGCUCAUUUCGGCCGCGCCAAGUUCCCGUUCCGUCCGGGGUCGCGGCGGGCGUCCCGGCCGGGCUCGCGGUGCGCGCGUGCACCCGCCGCUCAGGCCCCGCGGUCCUCCCGGCGCCGCGGCUCAGAACGCGGCCCCCACGGACUGGACGCAAGGCAGGGUAGCGGGGACCUCGGGAAUGGAUAGAGAAGGAAAUUCAGAUGUGCCAGAAUCAGGGUUAGCCCCAGUCCGACUACCCGCCAAGCUCCAGGCCCAUCUUCUGCUGAGCAUGUUCUCUGGUUCCUUGUGGAUGGCUCAGCAUCAACCUGUCACAGCUGCUCAUCACUGCUAAGCUGAGUGCCGUUGACAGUAUGUCAGCCUUAUGAUUAUAUAUGAAGGACAACACGUCACCUCAAUGCACUUAAGUCUUUUCUUUAUCUGAUGUGAAGAUCAUACAUAUAAUUUCCUGUGCGGCUCUCAGUAUCUCCAAGACCUAGGAUGCUCCUUGAGAGGUAUGAUACUAUUUUGAGGCUGGAAGUGCUCUUUCUGAUUCUCCUCUUCUCACCGCUGCUGGUCCUCUUGUGCCCCUGGCCCUGAGGAUUACUGUGAGCUCAGCCUUCCAAAGAGUUGUAAAAAGGGAAGACCUGAUGUAAGAAGAGGAGACAACUCUGACAAUCUGGAUAAUAUGGUAUUUAGGCCUUUCUGGCCUGCAGCCCCAUCUCUGUCGUAGAGGGUCCGUGGAGGCCGGGAGCAGUGACUGGAGAGAGGGGCUCCUACAAGUUGGCUGCU
rnacentral:lncRNA from 1 species